CUCACCAAUGCUCUAUAGUUUAUUCCCAUCAAGCUAACAAGGGAAAACUACAUCCUAUGUAAGACCCAGAUCAUGCCUCUCCUGCACAGCAAUGAUCUUCUCGGUUUCGUGGACGGCAGUGAAGUUCGACCAGCAGAGACCCUUUCUUCCACUGUCGAGGGUGGACUUCCACAGCCCAACCCAGCAUACAUCCCAUGGAUGAAGUGCAACC
rnacentral:lncRNA from 1 species